AAGUCGUAACAAGGUUUCCGUAGGUGAACCUGCGGAAGGAUCAUUAUUGAUUCCAAAAGAAGAGGAGCUUUGCAAAAAGCUCUUCGUUCUUUUCUGUGAACUGGAGUGUUCUGCUUGCUUCUCAUUUAUUUGGGAAAAGAGCAGAGCGCUUGGCAUUCUUUUCUUGUCAUUUUUUUUCUUGCCUUUAAGGUAAAAAAAAUCAAAGACAACUUUCAGCAAUGGAUCUCUUGGCUCUU
rnacentral:misc_RNA from 1 species